GGAGCCAAUCCCAGAAACCCGAUCGUAGUCCGGAUCGCAGUCUGCAACUCGACUGCGUGAAGUCGGAAUCGCUAGUAAUCGCGGAUCAGCAUGUCGCGGUGAAUACGUUCCCGGGUCUUGUACACACCGCCCGUCACACCAUGGGAGUGGGUUUUACCAGAAGUAGUUAGCCUAACCGCAAGGGGGGCGAUUACCACGGUAGGAUUCAUGACUGGGGUGAAGUCGUAACAAGGUAGCCGUAUCGGAAGGUGCGGCUGGAUCACCUCCUUUC
rnacentral:rRNA from 1 species